AUUGAAAGCUGGCGGCAAGCCUAACACAUGCAAGUCGAACGAGUGGCGGACGGGUGAGUAAUGUCUGGGAAACUGCCUGAUGGAGGGGGCUAAAUAAUGGAAACGGUAGCUAAUACAGAAUACCAUCGGAUGUGCCCAGAUGGGAUUAGCUAGUAGGUGGGGUAAAGGCUCACCUAGGCGACGCUCCCUAGCUGGUCUGAGAGGAUGACCGGCCAAACGGGAACUGGGACACGGUCCAGACUCCUACGGGAGGCAGCAGUGGGGAAUAUUGCACAAUGGGCGCAAGCCUGAUGCAGCCAUGCCGCGUGUAUGAAGAAGGCCUUCGGGUUUUAAAGUACUUUCAGCGGGGAGGCGUUACCCGCAGAAGAAGCACCGGCUAACUCCGUGCCAGCAGCCGCGGUAAUAC
rnacentral:rRNA from 1 species